GACGAACGCUGGCGGCGUGCCUAAUACAUGCAAGUCGAACGAACUCUGGUAUUGAUUGGUGCUUGCAUCAUGAUUUACAUUUGAGUGAGUGGCGAACUGGUGAGUAACACGUGGGAAACCUGCCCAGAAGCGGGGGAUAACACCUGGAAACAGAUGCUAAUACCGCAUAACAACUUGGACCGCAUGGUCCGAGCUUGAAAGAUGGCUUCGGCUAUCACUUUUGGAUGGUCCCGCGGCGUAUUAGCUAGAUGGUGAGGUAACGGCUCACCAUGGCAAUGAUACGUAGCCGACCUGAGAGGGUAAUCGGCCACAUUGGGACUGAGACACGGCCCAAACUCCUACGGGAGGCAGCAGUAGGGAAUCUUCCACAAUGGACGAAAGUCUGAUGGAGCAACGCCGCGUGAGUGAAGAAGGGUUUCGGCUCGUAAAACUCUGUUGUUAAAGAAGAACAUAUCUGAGAGUAACUGUUCAGGUAUUGACGGUAUUUAACCAGAAAGCCACGGCUAACUACGUGCCAGCAGCCGCGGUAAUACGUAGGUGGCAAGCGUUGUCCGGAUUUAUUGGGCGUAAAGCGAGCGCAGGCGGUUUUUUAAGUCUGAUGUGAAAGCCUUCGGCUCAACCGAAGAAGUGCAUCGGAAACUGGGAAACUUGAGUGCAGAAGAGGACAGUGGAACUCCAUGUGUAGCGGUGAAAUGCGUAGAUAUAUGGAAGAACACCAGUGGCGAAGGCGGCUGUCUGGUCUGUAACUGACGCUGAGGCUCGAAAGUAUGGGUAGCAAACAGGAUUAGAUACCCUGGUAGUCCAUACCGUAAACGAUGAAUGCUAAGUGUUGGAGGGUUUCCGCCCUUCAGUGCUGCAGCUAACGCAUUAAGCAUUCCGCCUGGGGAGUACGGCCGCAAGGCUGAAACUCAAAGGAAUUGACGGGGGCCCGCACAAGCGGUGGAGCAUGUGGUUUAAUUCGAAGCUACGCGAAGAACCUUACCAGGUCUUGACAUACUAUGCAAAUCUAAGAGAUUAGACGUUCCCUUCGGGGACAUGGAUACAGGUGGUGCAUGGUUGUCGUCAGCUCGUGUCGUGAGAUGUUGGGUUAAGUCCCGCAACGAGCGCAACCCUUAUUAUCAGUUGCCAGCAUUAAGUUGGGCACUCUGGUGAGACUGCCGGUGACAAACCGGAGGAAGGUGGGGAUGACGUCAAAUCAUCAUGCCCCUUAUGACCUGGGCUACACACGUGCUACAAUGGAUGGUACAACGAGUUGCGAACUCGCGAGAGUAAGCUAAUCUCUUAAAGCCAUUCUCAGUUCGGAUUGUAGGCUGCAACUCGCCUACAUGAAGUCGGAAUCGCUAGUAAUCGCGGAUCAGCAUGCCGCGGUGAAUACGUUCCCGGGCCUUGUACACACCGCCCGUCACACCAUGAGAGUUUGUAACACCCAAAGUCGGUGGGGUAACCUUUUAGGAACCAGCCGCCUAAGGUGGGACAGAUGAUUAGGGUG
rnacentral:rRNA from 1 species